rnacentral:rRNA from 1 species
UACGUAGGGGGCGAGCGUUGUCCGGAAUUAUUGGGCGUAAAGGGUGUGUAGGCGGCUUUGCAAGUCAGAUGUGAAAUGCCACGGCUUAACCGUGGAACUGCAUUUGAAACUGCAGGGCUUGAGUUCGGAAGAGGAAAACGGAAUUCCUAGUGUAGCGGUGAAAUGCGUAGAUAUUAGGAGGAACACCGGUGGCGAAGGCGGUUUUCUGGGCCGACACUGACGCUGAGGCACGAAAGCGUGGGGAGCGAACAGG